rfam:Biomphalaria glabrata isolate BB02 unplaced genomic scaffold LGTN_random_Scaffold649, whole genome shotgun sequence.
UGGCUAAGUGGUAAAGCGCUUGGCUUCCAAACUAGGGGUUCUGGGUUCUAAUCCUGG